UUUUGACAAAUUUAUUUAUUUUUAUUGUUAAAAAUUGGUGUAGUUGAAAGAAUAAUCAGACAAUUAUACUUGCCACACCACGUGUGCCUCGUGCUGAUGUACAAUGACUAAUUUUUAAUAGUAAUAAUGAAUGAAAAUUUAACAA
rnacentral:pre_miRNA from 1 species